GAUGAACGUUGGCGGCGUGCCUAACACAUGCAAGUCGAACGGCAAUAGCAAUAUUGGAGUGGCGCACGGGUGAGUAACACGUAGCUCAUCUACCUCAAAGCGCGGGAUAACGUGUCGAAAGACAGGCUAAUACCGCAUAAGCUCGCGAUCUGUAGAGGGUUGCGAGAAAAGGCUACGGUCACUUUGAGAUGAGGCUGCGGCCCAUCAGCUGGUUGGUGAGGUAAAAGCUUACCAAGGCAACGACGGGUAGGGGACCUGAGAGGGUGACCCCCCACACUGGGACUGAGACACGGCCCAGACUCCUACGGGAGGCAGCAGUGAGGAAUAUUGCACAAUGGGCGCAAGCCUGAUGCAGCGACGCCGCGUGGGUGAAGAAGGUUUUCGGAUCGUAAAACCCUUUUCUGUGUGACGAGAACGGACGGUAGCACAGGAAUAAGUCUCGGCUAACUACGUGC
rnacentral:rRNA from 1 species